UUGAUAAUUCAAUCUCACUCGGACAGUAUCGCAUUUUCAGAGUUUAAAGUUUGACGAGUCCAUGACAUCGCCAAAGAAACCAGAGGUUCAACAAGGGGUGUGAAUGAGGCCGAAGCCUAACACUGUAAUGAUCCUUCCGCAGGUUCACCUACGGAAA
rnacentral:misc_RNA from 1 species